rnacentral:lncRNA from 1 species
UUCUUUGAUCAUAAUGCUCAAGAUGACCUAGAGUUUAAUUGUUAAGCCCGGAUUAGUCAACCACAUUGUAUCUCAACCUUUUAAAUCCAUCACAUAGAUUAUCUUGAUCAAGAUUUUACGAAAUUGAAACACACUUAUACAUUAACUCCUACUUAUUCAGAGGGGUCAAUUCCAUCUUGACUCACAUACUGACUUCGUAAGUACUUGACUGUACCAGAAAUCUUUCAUCACUGAAUUAGAAAUUCAAAUAGUCUGGCAUCAAAGUAUAGUGAGUUGCUUGCAAGUCAUCAUGGUGAUCUU